rnacentral:rRNA from 1 species
AUUGAACGCUGGCGGCAGGCCUAACACAUGCAAGUCGAGCGGAUGAAGGGAGCUUGCUCCUGGAUUCAGCGGCGGACGGGUGAGUAAUGCCUAGGAAUCUGCCUGGUAGUGGGGGAUAACGUCCGGAAACGGGCGCUAAUACCGCAUACGUCCUGAGGGAGAAAGUGGGGGAUCUUCGGACCUCACGCUAUCAGAUGAGCCUAGGUCGGAUUAGCUAGUUGGUGGGGUAAAGGCCUACCAAGGCGACGAUCCGUAACUGGUCUGAGAGGAUGAUCAGUCACACUGGAACUGAGACACGGUCCAGACUCCUACGGGAGGGAGUAGUGGGGAAUAUUGGACUAUGGGCGAAAGCCUGAUCCAGCCAUGCCGCGUGUGUGAAGAAGGUCUUCGGAUUGUAAAGCACUUUAAGUUGGGAGGAAGGGCAGUAAGUUAAUACCUUGCUGUUUUGACGUUACCAACAGAAUAAGCACCGGCUAACUUCGUG